rnacentral:rRNA from 1 species
GUGGGGAAUCUUCCGCAAUGGACGAAAGUCUGACGGAGCGACGCCGCGUGAGUGAAGAAGGCCUUCGGGUCGUAAAGCUCUGUCAUCAGGGACGAACGGCCGGUGGAGUGGAAAGCCACCGGAUUGACGGUACCUGAGAAGGAAGCCACGGCUAACUACGUGCCAGCAGCCGCGGUAAUACGUAGGUGGCAAGCGUUGUCCGGAAUUAUUGGGCGUAAAGCGCGCGCAGGUGGGAUCUUAAGUCCAUUUUUAAAGUUCGGGGCUCAACUCCGUGAUGGGAUGGAAACUGGGAUUCUUGAGUACCGGAGAGGAAAGCGGAAUUCCCCGUGUAGCGGUGAAAUGCGUAGAUAUGGGGAGGAACACCAGUGGCGAAGGCGGCUUUCUGGACGGUGUCUGACACUGAGGCGCGAAAGCCAGGGGAGCGAACGGGAUUAGAAACCCCAGUAGUCC